rnacentral:rRNA from 1 species
UCGGGAGUAACAACCUGGAAACAAGAUGCUAAUAACCGGAUAACAACAGAUGAUGCCUAUCAACUGUUUAAAAGAUGGUUCUGCUAUCACUCUUGGAUGGACCUGCGGUGCAUUAGCUAGUUGGUAGGGUAACGGCCUACCAAGGCGAUGAUGCAUAGCCGAGUUGAGAGACUGAUCGGCCACAUUGGGACUGAGACACGGCCCAAACUCCUACGGGAGGCAGCAGGU